rnacentral:tRNA from 2 species
GGACGCUUAGCUCAGUGGUAGAGCAACGCUUUUACACAGCGAAGGUCGGGGGUUCAAAUCCCUCAGCGUCCACAA